GCGUCCGCGUCGGCUCCGAGGAUGUCCCGAUUUGGCCACCGGAGAGGAUUGGUUCGAUUGGUUCAAAGGAGUAGGACACGGAGCGUGGGCUCCGAACAUUCAGCAAAAUAGGGACAUUGUGAAUUUACUAGAUUGCGACAAGUCUACACAGGGAAUAGGCCGAGCUUGCAAUGAGCAGCUUGCAGAGCUACUAUGGCCUGA